rnacentral:rRNA from 1 species
UAAAUUGAGAGUUUGAUCCUGGCUCAGGAUGAACGCUGGCGGCGUGCUUAACACAUGCAAGUCGAGCGAUGAAGUUUCCUUCGGGAAACGGAUUAGCGGCGGACGGGUGAGUAACACGUGGGUAACCUGCCUCAUAGAGUGGAAUAGCCUUCCGAAAGGAAGAUUAAUACCGCAUAAUGUUGAAAGAUGGCAUCAUCAUUUAACCAAAGGAGCAAUCCGCUAUGAGAUGGACCCGCGGCGCAUUAGCUAGUUGGUGGGGUAACGGCCUACCAAGGCGA